rnacentral:lncRNA from 1 species
UGACACGACAGAUAUUCCUUUGUAUAUAACCACGUUAGCAGAUUAGCUGCAGCAGCAACCACCUUGAGAAGAUGAGCUACCCGCACCUCCAGCUUGGCCGGGACUACAUAUCCAACUUUGAUUCCGUAAGGCUGCAAAUUCGACAAAAUAUGUAUUAGAUCAUACUCAUGUGGCGGUAACAAGAUACAUGUUACAAGCAAGCAAAAUAUUUUGGAGAGCAGGACAAGGUUCCUGGUGGGCAAAUGGCAUUUUCACUAUCAGAGAAUUGCUAGUUUCCAGAAAAAUGGUUUCUCUGCUAAUCCUUGGACGCUAACAGGUAACAAGAGUGCAAGGUCUUAGUUGAUAGCAAGUUUCAAGAGAUCAAGGACAAACAAGAGUGCAAGGUCUUAGUUGAUAGCAAGUUUCAAGAGAUCAAGGGCAAACAGGCACUCUUGUCUGCCAAAUGUUGAUCACCAGCUCGGUGUACUCAUGCAGCGCGAUCUCGCAGAUGUUGUCUGGAUCCUUGGAGAGUUGGCCUACUGCGAGACUGAAACAGUAAAAAAACAAAACAAAGAGAUCACAAGCUGAUGCUAGAGACUAAACAGAGAAAACUGCGGCUCGAUCCAUUUCACUAUUUGAUAAAAUCAACAAAAAAAAAAUCAAAUUCCGAUUGUCAUCUAAUUGGAACCACAACUUCGUUAGAACAUGUACAAUAUAUUUGACCAAAAACAUCUAAAAGGAUUGAGCCGUUUAAUACAGAUCUCAGAAAAUUCAGGAAACCCUAGAGAAAGGAAAAUUUUGAGGAACAUUCAAAUUCAAUGAUAACAUACAUGCACAAAUCAAUUGUUGAUUCUUCAUAGGUUUGCACUUACAAUGACAGUAAAGAUGAAGGUCGCUGGCAGUAGCUCGAGUCCCCUGGCUGUCAGCUACAACCUUCAAGCUGUUUUGCUUGCACAGCGGUCGCAAAAUAGUUGGGUCGUGUAGUACUUUGCAGUAUGUCAGGUGUUCUUGUGUGCGUUUGUUCCUGCUUGUGACUCGAUAGGAGGACUUCGCUCACUGUCCGUAAAACUCUGUUUCAACUCUGCUUAGUGAAAUACUGGUAUGAUGCUGUUCGAGAAUAAAAAAGACACAGCCUUCAAGCAUUGGCAAACAAAAUGAUAACACGUGAAAGAAUGAGGGACACAUGGUAAAGCACGACAAUAUCAUAAUCUGUUUCACAAGGCAUGACU